rnacentral:sRNA from 1 species
UUUUUUCUUUCUUCUCU